rnacentral:rRNA from 1 species
AUACGGAGGGUGCAAGCGUUACUCGGAAUCACUGGGCGUAAGCGCGCGCAGGCGGCUAUUUAAGGUGGAUGUGAAAGCCUACGGCUCAACCGUAGAACUGCAUCCAAAACUGUCAGCCUAGAGUCUGGGAGGGGAAGAUGGAAUUAGUUGUGUAGGGGUAAAAUCCGUAGAGAUAACUAGGAAUACCAAAAGCGAAGGCGAUCUUCUGGAACAGUACUGACGCUGAGGCGCGAAAGCGUGGGGAGCAAACAGGAUUAGAAACCCUAGUAGUCC